AUUGAACGCUGGCGGCAGGCCUAACACAUGCAAGUCGAACGAGUGGCGGACGGGUGAGUAAUGUCUGGGAAACUGCCCGAUGGAGGGGGAUAACUACUGGAAACGGUAGCUAAUACCGCAUACCAUCGGAUGUGCCCAGAUGGGAGUAGCUUGUAGGUGAGGUAACGGCUCACCUAGGCGACGAUCCCUAGCUGGUCUGUGAGGAUGACCAGCCAAAAUGGAACGGCGACACGUUCAAGACUCCACCGGGGGGAAGCAGUGGGGAAUAUUGGCAAAUGGGCGUAAGCCUGAUGCAGCAAUGCCGCGUGUAUGAAGAAGGCCUUCGGGUGGUAAAGUACUUUCCGCGGGGAGGCGUUACCCGCAGAAGAAGCACCGGCUAACUCCGUGCCAGCAGCCGCGGUAAUAC
rnacentral:rRNA from 1 species